AGAUCUAAUAUUAAUUGACAAAUACUAAAAAAUAUUGUACAUCUUUUAUUAUUUUUUAAAUCUUUUAGUUCAUGAUUGUGUGAAUUUUUUUAGAAUCCAUCAUUAGACCAUUGUUUGAAAAGAUGUAUCCUAAAAAGUCAACUGAAGUAGUGUGGAAUAUAGACUUUUUUUUUAUCUUGUCGUUGUCGUAAUAUGUAAAGUCUUGCUU
rnacentral:lncRNA from 1 species